UUGCUGCCUUUCGGUGACCACGCAUGACAGUUCACACAGCCAGUGGCCGGUCAGUGGUGGGCACUGGGCUCCCAGAAGGAUGCCAGUCCAGGAACACCCAAUGGGCCCUCAGUGCUCUGGGGAGGUGCUGCGAUGCUGGUGGCCAGGAAGGCAAACAGGAAGGUAGUCAUUUAUUCUGUAAUCCGAAUCAGCAUAAACACACCAUAAAGUCCAAGUGUGUAAUGAAUUACAUCUCAGAUUCACUGAGAAAAGAAGCUUAAGAUAUAACGAGGUAAGAACAGCUUGUAUGUGUUACGGGGGGGGCGGGGUGAGCAGAUGUAGGUUGGCUGAUCUUCAGUCUCUGGAUUUAUAGAUGCGUUAUAAAACACUUCCACAGGAAAACCUUCUACGAUGAUAUCUCCAGUGGCCAAUAAUUAGACUGUGGGCUACAUGGACGGCCUUGAAGAUGGAGCAUCUUGUAUCAACCUGGUGAACAUUUUCUUUUACCGGACUCGCGGAGUUCUGUUCCUUUUGUCUCUUUGGCGCUUCUCUGCAGACUUCCCAAGGAGCCACUGGCUUAGUACCCUGCCCACCAGACUCAUGGACUCAUGACAAGAGAGCGCAGCAGGAUCCUGGGAUGCUGGGUGCCCGAGGGAGGGUGACCCACACCCCGGAAGUUAGGCAGCAGCAUGGCACAGCUGUGCCUGAGAGCCCAGAGCCUUAUGCCUGCUUCCUGCUGGCGGCCCUUAACCUCCUCUGGCUAAGAAGGAUGUCCACUCACUAGUGACCAGCCAGUGUGCACCUCUGGGAGGGUGGGAUGUGGGGACUGGAUUCGCCCACAUCAGCAAAUCUUCUCCAGAAAAGAAAGAGCCUCUGUUCCCUCCCCACCCGGAGACCAAGACUGCUGACCUUAUUUCUUCAUCUGUGAAAUAAGAAGCGUCUUACCUACUGUGGAAGGUGGUUGGAAGGAUGAAAUGAGCAAAGGGAUGCAAAGU
rnacentral:lncRNA from 1 species